GUGUGAUCGAGAACGAAUGGCGGGUAUCAUCAGAUAACCCGUGCGGCAGCCGCUUCCGUCGCCCGCGCGAAAAUGGCUUCUCCGGCUCUCGCUCUUCGUCCCCACGUAGCUGCUUCUCUCCCCCCUCGGGGGAGGUCCUCCGCGGAUCGAGGGCGUCUGAGGGUUUCGAGCUCCCUCGGCGCGGGGCGGCGCGGGGCGAAUUUGACGGCGGAGGGGUUAAGAAAGUGGGCGGCGGAUUCCGGAUUGAAGGUGGCGAAGGUCCUCCUCUCCGGGGCGGUGGUUCUCGGAGUGUCUCUUUCUGGUGUGUGUACGUCUGCGUAAUCUCCGAUUGCUCCCGCUUUUCUCGCUGCUCCGUGCGCGUUGCUCUGUCUCCGAUCUCCGAUCAUGAUAUCAGCCGGGCUCUCUGAAUUCGUCUUCUUCUUCUCUGAUUCCUUUCCGUAGCCGCCGUAUAAGGAAGGGGAUCACUUCCCUGCCGUCAUGGCGAACUCGAAAUGCGAAAGUUUCAGGGUUCCGUGAUGGUGUUCUUUCUGCUGCUUUUGCUUGGAUGAAGCUCACUCAUGGCGAUGCAACGAACAUGGAUUAUCGAUAACGAUUAGACAUUCGUCAGAGAUUUACCUGUGGCGUUCAUUCAGAAGCACAUAAACGGAGGAGAAUAGCGGAUUGGAACAUAAACAGAGACAGACCAAAAAAAAAAAAAACGGUUCCUAGCGUUCCUCUUGGGAAUGAUACCUGGCCUUGUUCUUGGAGACGCCAGGCCAACUCUUCUUUCUCUUUAUAUGGCGUACAGUGAGUUCGGAAAUCCUGAAGCAUAUACUUCGACUCUCUGGAAUAAUAAAAUAUCAUACGAUGUGCUCAUCCACC
rnacentral:lncRNA from 1 species